UUGAUAGGUUUCAUCAUUUCAUGUCAAUCACUUUUCUUAUGUGAAACGCUAUCACUGUAUUCUCCUAAGAUUUAAUUUUCUGCUUCCUAAAUUAUAGUUUUUCUUUCCUGUGUUGUAUGUGUUAUGGACGCUCUAAAUUGUAGUGUGAUUAGAAAGUAGAAAUACCAAUUUACCACCAAUAAGGAACUGUCCGAGCUAGAGAGCAUUGAAUCAGUUUUAAAUAUAGUGUGUGUGUGGAUUUGCUCAUAGGCUCAUAGCUAACCAGUUGUGUUGUGCUACUCGAUACGGGAGCACAAAUAUUGCUCAAACAGUUGCUUCCAUGAUAUAUUGAGCUGCUUGUUUACGCAAGGCGGCAAGAGCUAGGCCAAGAUUAUUCUUUCAGAUCACUCAUACCGCCGGAUCAGCGUCUUGCACCAAUGUCCAGCAGCUGUGUAUUGCUGCAUGGUCAUUAAAUUGGCGAAUUUUUGCUCAUGGCAACUGCUUCCAUAAUUUGCUCUUGGCUGAGAUUGUUCUCUUGCCUCAAAUGUUCUGCAAAAAAACAGCUGCACCUGCUAGGCAUCUUUUGAACCGUUAUAGUAAAACUCUG